CAUAAAUUAGUUUAUUGAAAAUAAUUCAUUUACAUUGGAUAGAUUAUAAGUUCAUUCUUUUAUUUAUGA
rnacentral:tRNA from 1 species